rnacentral:snRNA from 1 species
GCUGCUUGCUUUGGCAGCACACUAGAAUGGGAACAAUACGUAGAAGAUUAGCAUGGCCUCUUUGACAAGCAAAUUCAUAAGCGUAACGAGAGGCUCUU